rnacentral:tRNA from 1 species
GCGUUCGUAGUGUAGUGGUCAGCACGCUGGAUGCGUAUUCCAGACGUCCGUGGUUCGAGUCCCGGCGAAGGCG